CAAAGGAAGCGAUUCCGGCGGGGGAUGGGCAUGCGGCGCAUUAGCUAGUCGGCGGGGUAACGGCCCACCGAGGCGACGAUGCGUAGGGGUUCUGAGAGGAAGGUCCCCCACACUGGUACUGAGACACGGACCAGACUCCUACGGGAGGCAGCAGUGAGGAAUAUUGGUCAAUGGGCGGGAGCCUGAACCAGCCAAGUCGCGUGAGGGAAGACGGUCCUAUGGAUUGUAAACCUCUUUUGCCGGGGAGCAACGGGGUCCUUGCGAGGGCCUGAUGAGAGUACCCGGAGAAAAAGCAUCGGCUAACUCCGUGCCAGCAGCCGCGGUAAUACGGAGGAUGCGAGCGUUAUCCGGAUUUAUUGGGUUUAAAGGGUGCGUAGGCGGGCUGUUAAGUCAGCGGUCAAAUGUCGGGGCUCAACCCCGGCCUGCCGUUGAAACUGGUGGCCUCGAGUGGGCGAGAAGUAUGCGGAAUGCGUGGUGUAGCGGUGAAAUGCAUAGAUAUCACGCAGAGCUCCGAUUGCGAAGGCAGCAUACCGGCGCCCGACUGACGCUGAGGCACGAAAGCGUGGGUAUCGAACAGGAUUAGAUACCCUGGUAGUCCACGCAGUAAACGAUGAAUGCUAGCUGUCCGGGGCUUCGGUCCUGG
rnacentral:rRNA from 1 species